rnacentral:rRNA from 1 species
UACGGGGGGGGCAAGCGUUGUUCGGAAUUACUGGGCGUAAAGGGCUCGUAGGCGGCCAACUAAGUCAGACGUGAAAUCCCUCGGCUUAACCGGGGAACUGCGUCUGAUACUGGAUGGCUUGAGAUUGGGAGAGGGAUGCGGAAUUCCAGGUGUAGCGGUGAAAUGCGUAGAUAUCUGGAGGAACACCGGUGGCGAAGGCGGCAUCCUGGACCGACACUGACGCUGAGGCGCGAAAGCCAGGGGAGCAAACGGGG